rnacentral:tRNA from 1 species
GGGCAGUUAGCUCAGCUGGCAGAGCAUCGCCCUUACAAGGCGAGGGCCACAGGUUCAAAUCCUGUACUGCCCACCA